UGGGGAAUAUUGCACAAUGGGCGCAAGCCUGAUGCAGCCAUGCCGCGUGUGUGAAGAAGGCCUUCGGGUUGUAAAGCACUUUCAGCGAGGAGGAAGGGUUCAGUGUUAAUAGCACUGUUCAUUGACGUUACUCGCAGAAGAAGCACCGGCUAACUCCGUGCCAGCAGCCGCGGUAAUACGGAGGGUGCAAGCGUUAAUCGGAAUUACUGGGCGUAAAGCGCACGCAGGCGGUUUGUUAAGUCAGAUGUGAAAUCCCCGCGCUUAA
rnacentral:rRNA from 1 species